AUUGAACGCUGGCGGCAGGCCUAACACAUGCAAGUCGAGCGGCUGCACGGUGCUUGCUUCCGGUUACAGCGGCCGACGGGCGGAUAAUGCCUAGGAACCUGCCAGGCUGCGGGGUCUAACGUCCGGACAUGGGCGAUAUUACCCUAUUCCCCCUUACGACGUACGUGUGAGAUCAUGGGAUCUUCCGCUCUUACGCGAGUCUAUGUCGGAUUAGCUAGUUGGCGGGGUAAAGGCCUACCAAGGCGACGAUCCGUAGCUGGUCUGAGAGGAUGAUCAGUCACACUGGAACUGAGACACGGUCCAGACUCCUACGGGAGGCAGCAGUGGGGAAUAUUGGACAAUGGGCGAAAGCCUGAUCCAGCCAUGCCGCGUGUGUGAAGAAGGUCUUCGGAUUGUAAAGCACUUUUGUUUGGAAAGAAAAGCAGUAAGUUAAUACCUUGCUGUUUUGACGGUACCAACAGAAUAAGCACCGGCUAACUUCGUG
rnacentral:rRNA from 1 species